AUUGAACGCUGGCGGAAUGCUUUACACAUGCAAGUCGAACGGUAGAGGGGGCAACCCCUCGAGAGUGGCGAACGGGUGAGUAAUAUAUCGGAACGUGCCCAGUCGUGGGGGAUAACGUAGCGAAAGUUACGCUAAUACCGCAUACGAUCUACGGAUGAAAGCGGGGGAUCGCAAGACCUCGCGCGCUUGGAGCGGCCGAUAUCAGAUUAUGUAGUUGGUGGGGUAAAGGCUCACCAAGCCAACGAUCUGUAGCUGGUCUGAGAGGACGACCAGCCACACUGGAACUGAGACACGGUCCAGACUCCUACGGGAGGCAGCAGUGGGGAAUUUUGGACAAUGGACGCAAGUCUGAUCCAGCCAUUCCGCGUGCAGGAUGAAGGCCCUCGGGUUGUAAACUGCUUUUGUACGGAACGAAAAGGUUUCCAUUAAUACUGGGAGCUCAUGACGGUACCGUAAGAAUAAGCACCGGCUAACUACGUGCCAGCAGCCGCCGUAA
rnacentral:rRNA from 1 species